rnacentral:tmRNA from 1 species
GGGGGCGAACAGGUCUCGACAUGGGCGGUCCCGAGGUGGGAGCAGCAAGCCGAGGUCCGGCGGCCUCGUUAAACAGCCGGAACGCAAUACCUGCCGAGAGCAAUCUCGCACUCGCCGCCUGAUCAAGGCCGGCGCACCGCUCCCGGUCCGCCCGCGGCCGGGGCAGCGGUGUCAGAUUGCGGGCUGGGGCGCGGUCGCUCUGCUCCGUGCGAGCGCGUCCGAGACUGACCGGGGCUGGCGAGCGGCACCCGGCCGACGCGGGGGCCGCGAGCGAGACGAAAAGCGUCGGCUAAGCUUGUAGAGACUCCGCCGAGGCGCCCGUGGACGCGGGUUCGAUUCCCGCCGCCUCCACCA